rnacentral:lncRNA from 1 species
CUACUGCUGCCACUGCUACUACUACUACUACUACCACCACCACCAUUACCACUGCUGCUGCUACUGCUACUACUACUACUACUACCACUACCACCAUUACCACUGCUGCUACUGCUGCUACUGCUACUACUACUACCACCAUUACCACUGCUGCUACUGCUGCUACUGCUACUACUACCACUACUACUACUACUACUACUACCACCAUUACCACUGCUGCUGCUACUGCUACUACUACUACUACUACUACUACCACCAUUACCACUGCUGCUGCUACUACUACUACUACUACUACUACUACCACCAUUACCACUGCUGCUGCUACUACUACUACUACUACUACUACUACUACCACUACUACUACUACUACUACUACCACCAUUACCACUGCUGCUACUGCUGCUACUACUACUACUACUACUACUACCACCACCACCAUUACCACUGCUGCUGCUACUGCUACUACUACUACCACUACUACUACUACUACUACUACCACCAUUACCACUGCUGCUGCUACUGCUACUACUACUACUACUACUACUACUACCACCAUUACCACUGCUACUGCUACUACUACUACUACUACUACUGCUACUACCACCAUUACCGCUGCUGCUGCUGCUACUACUACUACUACUACUACUGCUAUUACUACUACUACUACUACUACUACUACUACUACUACCACCAUUACCACUGCUGCUACUGCAACUACUACUACCACCAUUACCACUGCUGCUACUGCUGCUACUGCUACUACUACUACUGCUACUACUACUACUACUGCUAUUACUGCUACUACUACUACUACUACUACCACCAUUACCACUGCUGCUGCUGCUACUACUACUACUACUACUACUACUACUACCACCAUUACCACUGCUGCUGCUACUGCUGCUACUACUACUACUACCAUUACCACUGCUGCUGCUACUGCUACUACUACUACUACCACUACUACUACCACUACUACUACUACUACCACUACUACUACUACCACUACUACUACUACUACUACUACUACCAUUACCACUGCUGCUGCUACUGCUGCUGCUGCUACUACUACUACUACUACUACUACUACUACCACUACUACUACCACCAUUUCCACUGCUGCUGCUGCUCCUCCUCCUACUACUACUACUACUACUACUACUACUACCACCACCAUUACCACUGCUACUACUACUACUACCACCACCACCAUUACCACUGCUGCUACUACUACUACUACUACCACCACCACCAUUACCACUGCUGCUACUACUACUACUGCUACUACUACUACUGCUGCUACUACUACUACUACUACUGCUACUGCUGCUACAGUAAUACUACUACCACUACUGCUUCUGCUGCUACUACUGCAGUCACUACUACUAGUGCUGCUGUUGCUGUUACUACAGUUACUGCUACAGGUAUUACUGUAACGACUACUACUACCAAUACAGACUACUACUAUGUUUCUACUGCCCUUACCAGACUGCCUCAGAGCCUCCUGAACCAAAGCAUCAAUCAAUCUUCAACACAUCCUUUUCUCCUCAGCUCCAUGCUACCACCUUCAUCAUCAUAUUUUGUGAACUGGGACAUUUGCAAUGGGAUUUGUUUUGCCUUUUUGAACAAGGAGGUAGAAUCAAUGUGAGCAUGACUUUACAUUUGUGUUGUAUGUGUUCCUGAAUGCUACAUGUUCCUGCUUGCCAGUGUGUGUGUGUGUGUGUGUGUGUGUGUGUGUGUGUGUGUGUGUGUGUGUGUGUGUGUGUGUGUGUGUGUGUGUGUGCAUUCCUGCAUGCCAGCUUGUGUGUGUAUAUGUGUGGUGAAAUCGGUAUGCUGGUCGGGAGGGCUGUGUUGUUUUGUAUGCUGGUCGGGAGGGCUGUGUUGUUUUGGAUGCUGGUCGGGAGGGCUGUGUUGUUUUGUAUGCUGGUCGGGAGGGCUGUGUUGUUUUGGAUGCUGGUCGGGAGGGCUGUGUUGUUUUGUAUGCUGGUCGGGAGGGCUGUGUUGUUUUGGAUGCUGGUCGGGAGGGCUGUGUUGUUUUGGAUGCUGGUCGGGAGGGCUGUGUUGUUUUGGAUGCUGGUCGGGAGGGCUGUGUUGUUUUGGAUGCUGGUCGGGAGGGCUGUGUUGUUUUGGAUGCUGGUCGGGAGGGCUGUGUUGUUUUGGAUGCUGGUCGGGAGGGCUGUGUUGUUUUGGAUGCUGGUCGGGAGGGCUGUGUUGUUUUGGAGGUUGAUAGAGGGACUGAUAGACGGUUGAUAGACUGAUAGAGGGGCUAAUAGACGGUUGAUAGAGGGGCUGAUAGACGGUUGAUAGAGGGGCUAAUAGACGGUUGAUAGAGGGGCUAAUAGAUGGUUGAUAGAGGGGCUAAUAGAUGGUUGAUAGAGGGGCUAAUAGACGGUUGAUAGAGGGGCUGAUAGACGGUUGAUAGAGGGGCUAAUAGACGGUUGAUAGAGGGGCUGAUAGACGGUUGAUAGAGGGGCUAAUAGACGGUUGAUAGAGGGGCUGAUAGACGGUUGAUAGAGGGGCUGAUAGACGGUUGAUAGAGGGGCUGAUAGACGGUUGAUAGAGGGACUGAUAGAUGGUUGAUAGAGGGGCUGAUAGAUGGUUGAUAGAGGGGCUGAUAGAUGGUUGAUAGAGGGGCUGAUAGACGGUUGAUAGAGGGGCUAAUAGAUGGUUGAUAGAGGGGCUGAUAGACGGUUGAUAGAGGGGCUAAUAGACGGUUGAUAGAGGGGCUGAUAGACGGUUGAUAGAGGGGCUGAUAGACGGUUGAUAGAGGGGCUGAUAGACGGUUGAUAGAGGGACUGAUAGAUGGUUGAUAGAGGGGCUGAUAGAUGGUUGAUAGAGGGGCUGAUAGACGGUUGAUAGAGGGGCUGAUAGACGGUUGAUAAAGGGCUGAUGGAGGGGUUGAUAGAUGCUUGAUAGAGGGGCUGAUAGAUGCUUGAUAGAGGGGCUGAUAGAUGGUUGAUAGAGGGGCUGAUGGAGGGGCUGAUAGACAGCUGAUAGAGGGGCUGAUAGAGAGGAUGUCUUAGGGACCAGAUGUUGGAGCAACCUUAAGUGCAGUAAUUAGAAGAGGCAGCAGGAUCAGGUGCAAAACAGUUUCCAGUUUAUUAACAGUGAAAGGUGGUUCCCGGUGAAUGACAAAAUCCAUUCAAUAUUUACAUAAUCUAUAAAGGUAUUUACAAAAUGGUAUUUACACCCUCUCCAGAGGGUGGUGCGGUCUGCACAUCGCAUCACCGGGGGAAAACUACCUGCCCUCCAAGACACCUACAGCACCCGAUGUCACAGGAAGGCCAAAAAGAUCAUCAAUGACAUCAACCAUCUGAGCCACUGCCUGUUCGCACCACUACAAUCCAGAAGGAGAGACAACAUCUCUCUGUGUACCAUUACUUCUGUCUCCCCC